ACCGGGGUUGCGGACAGUGUCUGGUGGGUAGUUUGACUGGGGCGGUCUCCUCCCAAAGCGUAACGGAGGAGCACGAAGGUUAGCUAAUCCUGGUCGGACAUCAGGAGGUUAGUGCAAUGGCAUAAGCUAGCUUGACUGCGAGCGUGACGGCGCGAGCAGGUGCGAAAGCAGGUCAUAGUGAUCCGGUGGUUCUGAAUGGAAGGGCCAUCGCUCAACGGAUAAAAGGUACUCCGGGGAUAACAGGCUGAUACCGCCCAAGAGUUCAUAUCGACGGCGGUGUUUGGCACCUCGAUGUCGGCUCAUCACAUCCUGGGGCUGAAGUAGGUCCCAAGGGUAUGGCUGUUCGCCAUUUAAAGUGGUACGCGAGCUGGGUUUAGAACGUCGUGAGACAGUUCGGUCCCUAUCUGCCGUGGGCG
rnacentral:rRNA from 1 species